AGCAUGGCACUUUUGCCCCCUUGAGCACUUGUGGCUCAUCAUGCCUCUGCAGCCUGAUGUGUUCAGAAAACGUGCAAGCCUGCAGAAAGACUUCUUCAGUAAUGCUUUCCUGUACUAAAAAGGCUCAGAAUCACAGAGAGAAGGCGCAGAUGGGUCUUUGAUCCAGAAUACAUGAGGGGUAGAAGAAAUGAGUUGCUCAACUGCGAUCCAUGUUUACUGGU